CGGGACGGGGUGGAGUAAUGUCUGGGAAACGUGCCUGAUGGGAGGGGGUAACUACUGGAAACGGUAGCUAAUACCGCAUAACGUCGCAAGACCAAAGAGGGGGACCGUUAGGGCCUCUUGCCAUCGGAUGUGCCCAGAUGGGAUUAGCUAGUAGGUAAGGUAACGGCUUACCUAGGCGACGAUCCCUAGCUGGUCUGAGAGGAUGAUCAGCCACACUGGGACUGAGACACGGCCCAG
rnacentral:rRNA from 1 species